GAUGAACGCUGGCGGCGUGCCUAAUACAUGCAAGUCGAGCGAACGGACGAGAGGCUUGCUUCUCUGAUGUUAGCGGCGGACGGGUGAGUAACACGUGGAUAACCUACCUAUAAGACUGGGAUAACUUCGGGAAACCGGAGCUAAUACCGGAUGAUAUUUUGAACCGCAUGGUUCAAAAGUGAAAGACGGUCUUGCUGUCACUUAUAGAUGGAUCCGCGCUGCAUUAGCUAGUUGGUAAGGUAACGGCUUACCAAGGCAACGAUGCAUAGCCGACCUGAGAGGGUGAUCGGCCACACUGGAACUGAGACACCGUCCAGACUCCUACGGGAGGCAGCAGUAGGGAAUCUUCCGCAAUGGGCGAAAGCCUGACGGAGCAACGCCGCGUGAGUGAUGAAGGUCUUCGGAUCGUAAAACUCUGUUAUUAGGGAAGAACAUAUGUGUAAGUAACUAUGCACAUCUUGACGGUACCUAAUCAGAAAGCCACGGCUAACUACGUG
rnacentral:rRNA from 1 species